rnacentral:rRNA from 1 species
GAGCUUGCUCUUCCUGAUUAGUGGCGCACGGUUGAGUAUACCAUAGAUAAUGUACCCCUUAUGUUGGGAUAGCCGCUGGAAACGGUGAUUAAUACCAGAUACUCCUUCUUGUCUUAAGGCAAGUCGGGAAAGUUUUUUCGCUAAGGGAUCAGUCUAUGUCCUAUCAGCUAGUUGGUGAGGUAAUGGCUCACCAAGGCUAUGACGGGUAUCUGGUUUGAGAGGAUGAUCAUACACACUGGAACUGAGACACGGCCCAGACUCCUACGGGAGGCAGCAGUGAGGAAUAUUGCACAAUGGAGGAAACUCUGAUGCAGCAACGCCGCGUGGAGGAUGACGCAUUUCGGUGUGUAAACUCCUUUUAAGAGGGAAGAUAAUGACGGUACCUCUUGAAUAAGACCGGCUAACUCCGUGCCAGCAGCCGCGGUAAUACGGAGGGUGCAAGCGUUACUCGGAACCACUGGGCGUAAAGGGUGCGUAAGCUGACUUUUAAGUCAGGCGUGAAAUCCAAUGGCUUAACCAUUGAACUGCGCUUGAAACUGGGAGUCUAGAGUUCAGAAGGGGCAGAUGGAAUUAGUGGUGUAGGGGUAAAAUCCGUAGAUAUCACUAGGAAUAUCAAAAGCGAAGGCGAUCUGCUGGGAUGAUACUGACGCUGAGGCACGAAAGCGUGGGGAGC